rnacentral:lncRNA from 1 species
AUAAUUUUCCUCUUUAGAGGUAUAUGUUAAGAAAGCAAUUUUGGUUCAGAAAAUCGGUUUUCAGGUCUUUGUCAUCGUUUCUUCCAAAUUAAAGCUUGUAGGAUUGAUGAUGUACAGGUCUUAACGUGAAGGUCCAUAAACUACAAAAAGUCAUCUGGGGAGAAUUAACGCAACACAACUGAGAAAAGUUAAAGAAACAACUAGUUCUCCAGCAGAAAGCAAGCCUUGGCAAGGAUUUUCACUGUAGGCAUGUUGCAGUGGACAGGAUUGACAGCAAGUCUGCACUUCUACCCAAAGAACUACAGCUUUGACAUCGACAGCGAGCUGCUUAAGUCGUAAUGAAGUCAAUGGCUGAGGAGCUGCGUGAUUCUCAAUGCCUGGCCAGAGAUAUCAGUUGGAAGGUUCCAUGGGCUCUACAGGAAGAGAAAGAAAAUCAUGAGUCUUGUUCAGCUGCCAAGCCUACAAACUCUAAUAGCAACUAUCUUGACAAAAAAAGUUUUGUCAACUUUGAAACUACUCUACAAAAUUUUGACUGGAAGUUCUUAACGAGGAAAAUAAGAAGAAAUACUGGGUUUAUUAUAUCCAAAUACUCUACCACAUGACGCUACAGUAGAGUCCCACAAUUCUUGGGUUACCCUUGACUAGGAGCAACUCUUGUCUCAGCUCAUUUUCUUGGCCUAAUAUCUGCCAGGAACCCUGCCACCACAGCAGUCACUGAAUGGAGG